CGAGUUUCUGUCCCAGUGAAAUGAAAAUUACAGUCUACAUAACUUCCAUACAUAUUAAGUUCCAUUGAGUUCAAUGGAAAGCAGUCAUCAUUACUCUUAACACUUAAAACAAGAACCAAUAAUCAUAGAGCGUUAAAAAAAAAUUAAAUUU